UACGUAGGUGGCAAGCGUUGUCCGGAUUUAUUGGGUUUAAAGGGUGCGUAGGCGGUCCCAUAAGUCAGUGGUGAAAUACUCUAGCUUAACUAGAGGGGUGCCAUUGAUACUGCGGGACUUGAGUAGAGUUGAAGUGGGCGGAAUUGACGGUGUAGCGGUGAAAUGCUUAGAUAUGACAUAGAACACCAAUUGCGAAGGCAGCUCGUUACACGAAUAUUGACACUCAGGCACGAAAGCGUGGGGAUCAAACAGG
rnacentral:rRNA from 1 species